rnacentral:rRNA from 1 species
GCAAGUCGAGCGCACCUUCGGGAAGGAGCGGCGGACGGGUUAGUAACGCGUGGGAACAUACCCUUUUCUAUGGAAUAGCCUUUGGAAACGAAGAGUAAUACCAUAUACGCCCUUUGGGGGAAAGAUUUAUCGGAGAAGGAUUGGCCCGCGUUAGAUUAGAUAGUUGGUGGGGUAACGGCCUACCAAGUCACCGAUCUAUAGCUGGUUUGAGAGGAUGAUC